rnacentral:rRNA from 1 species
UGGGGAAUAUUGCGCAAUGGGGGAAACCCUGACGCAGCGACGCCGCGUGCGCGAAGAAGGCCUUCGGGUUGUAAAGCGCUGUCAGGAGGGAAGAAAAUGUCGGGGUAUAAUACGCCCUGUCUCUGACGGUACCCCCGAAG